CGUUAAUGUGCAGAGAGAGGGGGCGCUACACAAUAAUUGGGGGGAGAGGAAAUUUUUUCCUCCCAGGAUGGGGGCGGGGAAAUAUUUGGGUUUCCCUUUGAGGGGAUAACCCUGGAAAGGUGUUAAUCCCCUUGAUUCGGAACCAAAAGGGGGGCCUUUCGCCCCGGCCCUUAAGAUAACCCAGAGGGAUUAGUGGAAGUGGGUAACGGUUCCCUUGGCGCGAUCCCUAGCUGUUUGAGAGGAGUUCAGCCCACUGGGAUUGAACACGGCCCAGAUCCUGCGGAGGCAGCAGUGGGAAUAUGCCCAAUGGGGAAACCCUGAUGCAGCCAUGCCGCGUGUAUGAAGAAGGCCUUCGGGUUGUAAAGUACUUUCAGCAGGGAGGAAGGGGUGAGGAGUAACAUGCCUUGCCAUUGACGUUACCUGCAGAAGAAGCACCGGCUAACUCCGUGCCAGCAGCCGCGGUAAUACGGAGGGUGCGAGCGUUAAUCGGAAUUACUGGGCGUAAAGGGCACGCAGGCGGUUAAUUAAGCCGGAUGUGAAAUCCCCGGGCUCAACCCGGGAACUGCAUUCGGAACUGGUUGACUGGAGUUCUGUAGAGGGGGGUGGAAUUCCACGUGUAGCGGUGAAAUGCGUAGAGAUGUGGAGGAACACCAGUGGCGAAGGCGGCCCCCUGGACAGAGACUGACGCUCAAGUGCGAAAGCGUGGAGAGCAAACAGGAUUAGAUACCCUGGUAGUCCACGCUGUAAACGAUGUCGAUUUAAAGGCUGUGGUCAUGAACUGUGGCUUUUGGAGCAAACGCGUUAAAUCGACCGCCUGGGGAGUACGGCCGCAAGGUUAAAACUCAAAUGAAUUGACGGGGGCCCGCACAAGCGGUGGAGCAUGUGGUUUAAUUCGAUGCAACGCGAAGAACCUUACCUGGUCUUGACAUCCACAGAAGACUGCAGAGAUGCGGUUGUGCCUUCGGGAACUGUGAGACAGGUGCUGCAUGGCUGUCGUCAGCUCGUGUUGUGAAAUGUUGGGUUAAGUCCCGCAACGAGCGCAACCCUUGUCCUUUGUUGCCAGCGCGUGAAGGCGGGAACUCAGGGGAGACUGCCGGUGAUAAACCGGAGGAAGGUGGGGACGACGUCAAGUCAUCAUGGCCCUUACGACCAGGGCUACACACGUGCUACAAUGGCGCAUACAAAGAGAAGCGAGCCUGCGAGGGUGAGCGGACCUCAUAAAGUGCGUCACAGUCCGGACUGGAGUCUGCAACUCGACUCCACGAAGUCGGAAUCGCUAGUAAUCGCGGAUCAGAAUGCCGCGGUGAAUACGUUCCCGGGCCUUGUACACACCGCCCGUCACACCAUGGGAGUGGGUUGCAAAAGAAGCAGAGGGCUUAACCUCCGGGAGGGCAUCUGCCACUUUGUGAUUCAUGACUGGGGUGAAGUCGUAACAAGGUAGCCGUAA
rnacentral:rRNA from 1 species